GAUGAAUGCUGGCGGCGUGCCUAAUACAUGCAAGUCGAGCGAACGGACGAGAAGCUUGUUUCUCUGAUGUUAGCGGCGGACGGGUGAGUAACACGUGGAUAACCUACCUAUAAGACUGGGAUAACUUCGGGAAACCGGAGCUAAUACCGGAUAAUAUUUUGAACUGCAUGGUUCAAAAGUGAAAGACGGUCUUGCUGUCACUUAUAGAUGGAUCCGCGCUGCAUUAGUUAGUUGGUAAGGUAACGGCUUACCAAGGCAACGAUGCAUAGCCGACCUGAGAGGGUGAUCGGCCACACUGGAACUGAGACACGGUCCAGACUCCUACGGGAGGCAGCAGUAGGGAAUCUUCCGCAAUGGGCGAAAGCCUGACGGAGCAACGCCGCGUGAGUGAUGAAGGUCUUCGGAUCGUAAAACUCUGUUAUUAGGGAAGAACAUAUGUGUAAGUAACUGUGCACAUCUUGACGGUACCUAAUCAGAAAGCCACGGCUAACUACGUG
rnacentral:rRNA from 1 species